rnacentral:tRNA from 1 species
GUGCCUGUAGCUCAGAUUGGAUAGAGCGCAGCCCUGCGGAGGCUGAAGUCGGGCGUUCGAAUCGCCCCAGGCACGC